rnacentral:rRNA from 1 species
GAUGAACGCUGGCGGCGUGCCUAAUACAUCCAAGUCGAGCGAACAGACGAGGAGCUUGCUCCUCUGACGUUAGCGGCGGACGGGUGAGUAACACGUGGAUAACCUACCUAUAAGACUGGGAUAACUUCGGGAAACCGGAGCUAAUACCGGAUAAUAUAUUGAACCGCAUGGUUCAAUAGUGAAAGACGGUUUUGCUGUCACUUAUAGAUGGAUCCGCGCCGCAUUAGCUAGUUGGUAAGGUAACGGCUUUCCAAGGCAACGAUGCGUAGCCGACCUGAGAGGGUGAUCGGCCACACUGGAACUGAGACACGGUCCAGACUCCUACGGGAGGCAGCAGUAGGGAAUCUUCCGCAAUGGGCGAAAGCCUGACGGAGCAACGCCGCGUGAGUGAUGAAGGUCUUCGGAUCGUAAAACUCUGUUAUUAGGGAAGAACAAAUGUGUAAGUAACUAUGCACGUCUUGACGGUACCUAAUCAGAAAGCCACGGCUAACUACGUG